rnacentral:tRNA from 1 species
GUGGAUAUAGUUCAGUCGGUAGAGCGCCAGUUUGUGGCACUGGAUGUCGUGGGUUCAAGUCCCACUAUUCACCCCA